rnacentral:misc_RNA from 1 species
GUGAGUCAUCGAAUCUUUGAACGCACAUUGCGCCCUUUGGUAUUCCGAAGGGCAUGCCUGUUCGAGCGUCAUUUAAACCCUCAAGCUCUGCUUGGUGUUGGGUGCGGUCGGUGGACCCUCCCGUAACUCGUUGGCGGUUGGCGUUGCCUCAAAGCGUAGCAAUUUUCGCUUCUGGGUUGGCGACUCCCGCCGGAAAAGCUUUUUCAAAGUUUGACCUCGGAUCAGGUAGGGAUACCCGCUGAACUUAAGCAUAUCAAUAAGCGGAGGA